rnacentral:rRNA from 1 species
CGCGGCCUAUCAGCUUGUUGGUGAGGUAACGGCUCACCAAGGCAUCGACGGGUAGCUGGUCUGAGAGGAUGAUCAGCCACACUGGGACUGAGACACGGCCCAGACUCCUACGGGAGGCAGCAGUAGGGAAUAUUGCACAAUGGGCGAAAGCCUGAUGCAGCAACGCCGCGUGCGGGAAGAAGGCCCUAGGGUUGUAAACCGCUUUCAGCAGGGAAGAAAAUGACGGUACCUGCAGAAGAAGGUGCGGCCAACUACGUGCCAGCAGCCGCGGUGACACGUAGGCACCAAGCGUUGUCCGGAUUUAUUGGGCGUAAAGAGCUCGUAGGCGGUUUGUCGCGUCUGCUGUGAAAAUCCGAGGCUCAACCUCGGACCUGCAGUGGGUACGGGCAAACUAGAGUGCGGUAGGGGAGAUUGGAAUUCCUGGUGUAGCGGUGGAAUGCGCAGAUAUCAGGAGGAACACCAAUGGCGAAGGCAGAUCUCUGGGCCGUAACUGACGCUGAGGAGCGAAAGCGUGGGGAGCGAACAGGAUUAGAUACCCUGGUAGUCCACGCCGUAAACGGUGGGAACUAGAUGUGGGGUCCGUUCCACGGAUUCCGUGUCGCAGCUAACGCAUUAAGUUCCCCGCCUGGGGAGUACGG